UCUAUUUCCGCCGCCACGCCACGCCAUCUCGGCAAGUAGUACAAGGCUCCGGCUGCCGCCACCGCCUCUGCCCCGGCUAUAAAGCCGCGCCCUUUGGCCGGCCCGCGCCUCUCGCCUCCUCGCCGCGCCCUGCCCGGUCCGCUCCUCCUCCUCCUCUUCGUCCGCGCGGCGCCUCUCUCCUUCGGCCUCCCCGCCGCGCUCCGGCCGGUCCGCUGCUCCUCCACCCUCCGUCCGGGCCCGUGCGUAUGUCCCUCGUCGAGCCGGGUUUCGUCUCGCUCGCCCUCCUCGAUCGAUUUGCCCGUCUAGAAUCGGGUCCGGAUUUGAUUUUGCUCGUCCUCGGUCCAUUCGUCCGUUCAGAGUCGCGUCCGGAUUUGAUUUUGCUCACCGUCGCCGGUUUAGAUAGCUAGAGAACCACAGCUGAUUUGAUUCUGCUCGUUCUCGCCGUCGUUCGUUUAGAACCGCGUCCGAUUUGAGUUUGCUCGCGCUGAAUUCGUCAGUUUAGAACCGCUCCCAAGUUGAUUUUGCGCAUCCCCGCCGUCGUUAGUUUAGAGUCGCUCGCUUCUGAUUUGAUUCUGCUCGUCCUCGCCGUCGCCCGUUUUCGUUUUGCUUGUCCUAGCCGUUGCCGCGACGCGCCCGCAUGUUCUUGGUCCGUCUCGUCGAGGGUCUCCCGUCUGGUUUGCGAUUCAGAAAUUUCUGCGUGCGCUUCUGUUGUCCGAGAGGAACUUUGGAUCCUGCGUUUCUUCGUGUUCGUGUCGGCGCGAGCGUUGCAGGAACGGUCGGGUCUUGGUUUUGAAAUUGGGUUGCGGCCGGAGAUGGAGAGGCGGAGAGCGAUUGUCAGUUUGUCGCGCUAGUUCAGAUUGGUUCCUAGGCUCCUGCGUUUUUCUUGUUCGUCGGUUGUUUUCAGAUCUCCAAACGGCUAGUUUGUUCGUGUUGGUCCGUGGAGACGUGCCCUUUGAUGCUCUGGUUCCUCUAGUUCAGAUUGUACCAGCUGGCCUGUUUCACUUUCGUCAGGCGUGUGUGCUCUCAUCCUAGAUGCUAUGUUCUGAUGGGUGUUACUGCUUCUGUUCUUUUCAAUUGGUUACUUCCUAUCAUGCUUCACUUAUGUUCAAUAUAUGCUGAUGUGUGUUCAGGGGUGCAAACCAUUAACCAUGUAGGCUGUGGGUGCCAUUUCGAGCAGGCAGAGUAGAACUUUUUAAAAGAGUGCAAAUCAUGUGGCUGCUACUUGACUAAUUGAACACCUGCUGUUGCUACUGUUGGACAAGGUUUCCUUGUUUUCUUCCUCGUCUUGCUGUUUCCAUUUUCAUACAGGAGUACUAGAUGAGGUGCUGCUAGUCCCUUAGAUUUCAUACUAGAUUACAUAGCAUGACUCUAGAAUUUUUUUCAUUGCACACCUGGGCAUAUGAUUCUGCUGUGAGCAUAACUCCAGAGUUUAUUUAUCUGUGAAAGCACGCUCAUCACACGUUUCUUAUCAAUGCUGCUCACUUUUGUCAUGUCCCUUCUGUUUGUCCUGUUAAAUUUUAUGGAGCAAAUUUUGUACUCACUGUUUAAAAUAUCAAGAAUGCUGACUUCUGUGUUUGUCGCUAUGUAAGCCAUGCACUUGGGAAGCCUGGGCGUGAUUAGGAUUUGGAUUGCAUAUAGAUUUUAUUCCAUGUCUGUUUAUAACCUGGUUGUGACCCAAUAUAGUGUAAAUCUGCUAAUUUUUUAAUUUAAUUUAUGUUCAACGCAAGUAGGUUUUGUUUGCAAGUGGUAUUUCUUUUGCGUGUGCAUGAACAUUCAUGCUGUCAAUUUUUCUUAUCAUAAUCAUUUACCGUGGUGUUUGACAAUACAUUUCUAUUGUUCUUUGUUCCCUUUUGAGGUUCACUGACUCAAUUAUGCAUGGGAUAUGAUAUCAAUUACUGCUGUCCAGUCACUGAAAUAAUGCUUUUCUUGCUUUGCCUAGACUUUGUGACAAGAAUAAGCAUGUGUCUCUGUGCCUACAAACUUGUGGGUACUGCCGUAGUGAUGAUGAUCCAACUAGCUUCCUGUUUUCAGGAAUGAAGAUCUGAAUUACCCUCACCCCUCUACAGAAAUCAGUUAACUCAUUCAGUUUCUGGAACUUCUUUAUAGCUUUUUGAGUUUACUUCGGUCUUGCAUGUAUUAGUUUUCUGUUUGUACCCCUAUCUAUGUAUGUUUCUUUGUCUAUUUCAUGUGUGCAAGUGAUCCAUUGUGUGUGUCUUGACUGUGUGUCUGACUGUGUGUGUGUGAUGUGCCCCUAUUAUGUAUGUUUCUUUGUCUGUUUCAUUCAUGUGUGCAAGUGCUCCAUUAUCUGUGUGUGACUCUGUUUGACUGCUUGGAUGGGGUGAUUCUGAUUGCAUUACUGCUUAUAUGGUCUGUCCAAUUGGUUUCUUAUUCAUGCUUUGCUUGUGUUCCAUUGUGUGUGUCUGACUGUGUGUGUGAUGUGCCCCUAUCUAUGUAUGUUUGUUUGUCUGUUUCAUGUGUGCAAGUGCUCCAUUAUCUGUGUGUGACUGUGUUUGACUGCUUGGAUGGGGUGAUUCUGAUUGUGUUACUGCUUAUACGGUCUGUCCAAUUGGUUUCUUAUUCAUGAUUUGCUUGUGUUCCAAUGUCGUCUCCCCAUGUAUGGGGAUGUGUUCAGGGAUGCAAACCAUUUAGGCCGUUUCGAGCAGGCAGGGAUCCAGAGAUGUGCGCUGGUCAGGCUUCUCUCCUGCUGAUAGAUGAUGAUAGGCUGAGCAGAAAAGUUUGACUCUUGUAACACUCACUUGCUUGGCUUCCACUCCUUUGUGUGGCCGAUUUGGCAUCCAAUGCAUCUCAUGCCUAUCUUAUAUAUCUCACCCACUCAUCACAACAUCCUUUUCCCUGUUUGUGUUCCUUUUUUUCUGUGUUUCGUUAUGUCUUAUGUGGAUAUCGUAUUCUUUUUUUGUAUUACUGCUGUCCAUUCACUGGAAUAAUGCUUUUCUAAGUAUUUCAGGUAGGAUAUAGACAAAUGUCACAUUUGCUCUUCCUUGUGUUGCUAAGGACACUGAUGGGUGGGGUUUGCUUACAGCGCAGGACCGAUAAUUCUGAUAGUAUGCUGAUAGUAUGCCAAGGACUGCUCAGGGUUCCUAUCGCUUUCUGUUUUACCAACUAAGGUAAUCGAAUUGAUCUUCAGCUUGCAAAUUUAUCACCUUAUGGAAGGGAAAGGUUUGCAUGUACAUGAGCUCUGAUUAUCUACAUAUAUACUUGAAUUGCUUUGGAUUUGUUGGACUGCUAUUCUACAUGAUGUUCUCCAUGAUUCACUUGAUCUGUUAAUUUGAGUAUUUUCCUGGUGAGUUCUUUAGGUUCAUCUUGUGACACAAAAUACAAUUUUGGUACGUGUAGAGUCUGAAAUUUGGUGAUAAAGAAAAGGUACCUCCUAAUUUGCUCCCGGGCUCUCUUACACUUGUCUUUGUUUAUAUAACAGUAGUGGCCUCCUGGCUUGUAGUUGGGUACUGCAGAGAGAGGUUUGGAAUUGAAGAACUAAAAUAAUGCAGAGUUGAAGGUUUUGAACGGGAAGCUUGAACAAAUAGUUUACUUUUUCUCAUGGCUUUGAUUAGUUUCAUCCUAUCUAUGUCUGUUUCUUGUGUGCAAGCACUCCAUUGUGUCUGUGUGACUGACUGUUUGUGUGUGUGACUGAUUGUGUGUGUUUCUUUGUCUGUUUCUUGUGUGCAAGCGCUCCAUUGUGUGUGUGUGACUGUGUGACUGACUGUUUGUGUGUGUGGCUGAUUGUGUGUGUUUCUUUGUCUAUUUCUUGUGUGCGAGCGCUCCAUUGUGUGUGUGCAUGUGUGUUGACUGUGACUGUGUGUCAUUUUAUGACUGUGACUGUGUAUUGAUGUGACUGUGUGUGUGUGUGUGGUGACUGUGACUGUGUGUCAUUUUAUGACUGUGUGUAUGUGUGUGUGUGUGUGUGUGUGUGUGUUGACUGUGACUGUGUGAUUGUGCAAGUGCUCCAUAACUACCUAUGCAUGGAAAUUUCUAUAAGGUCAUGGGCAUGUAAUUUAAUGACCUACAUACCUCUGUAGUUGGUAGUAUCAUUGCCCUUUGGACACUCUUCAAUACAUUGUUGUAUAUUUUCCUGCCACAAGUAUGAUGUUUGUGCUCAGAAUGAUGUAUAUGUAGAAUCCAGGGUGGAUGGAGGUUUUCAUGAUGGCUAAUUUGAUUUGUUAUGGUUCUGAUGCUGUGCUUCUUGUGUUUGAACUGAAGCCGUGGAUCACGCAUCAACCUGGUCUGUGUUUGUAUGCUGAAUUAUUUCCAGAUAGGACAGAAGUGCAAUGUCUACAUCCAUGGAAGAAGGUUUUUUAACACUGAACUCAUGAAAGCUCCUUGGACUCAAGAGGAAGAUGACAAAAUUAUUGACCUUGUAAACAAGUAUGGACCAACAAACUGGUCUCAUUGCAAGUUCAACUACCAGAACUUCCUGCUGCUGAUCCUGUGAUGUUUCCGAACAUGCUCCUGAACAUGUUCAGUUUAUCCCCCUAGGACAGAAUAAACCCACCUGUGAUCUAUCACGCUUCUUUCUUCCCUUUGCAUCGAUCCACUUGCUAUGCAGCCACUGCUAUGACACAGCAGGUUACUCGGCAUGCUCGGCGUGUUUACUUCGGUGGACUUCCUCCGAUCGCUAAUGAACAGACGGUUGCUCUAUUCUUCAAUCAAGUUGUGGCUGCUAUCAGGGGAAACACAUUUGGUCUAGGUGGCAUAAUCAUCUGAAUCCAAACAUAUGGAAUGAUGCUUGGACUACUGAGGAGGAACAUGCACUGAUUAAUGCCAUCAGGUAUAUGUGAAUAAAUGAGCAGAAAUAGCAAAAGUUCUUCCUGGAAGGUACUCCCAAACAACUUACAUCAUGGGUCUUGCUUGUAGUAUUAGCUUUCUGUUUGUGCCCUUUCUAUCUCUUGUGUGUGACUGACUGUGUGUGACUGUGAC